GCGGACGGGUGAGUAAUGCCUAGGAAUCUGCCUGAUAGUGGGGGACAACGUUUCGAAAGGAACGCUAAUACCGCAUACGUCCUACGGGAGAAAGCAGGGGACCUUCGGGCCUUGCGCUAUCAGAUGAGCCUAGGUCGGAUUAGCUAGUUGGUGAGGUAAUGGCUCACCAAGGCGACGAUCCGUAACUGGUCUGAGAGGAUGAUCAGUCACACUGGAACUGAGACACGGUCCAGACUCCUACGGGAGGCAGCAGUGGGGAAUAUUGGACAAUGGGCGAAAGCCUGAUCCAGCUAUGCCGCGUGUGUGAAGAAGGUCUUCGGAUUGUAAAGCACUUUAAGUUGGGAGGAAGGGUUGUAGAUUAAUACUCUGCAAUUUUGACGUUACCGACAGAAUAAGCACCGGCUAACUCUGUGCCAGCAGCCGCGGUAAUACAGAGGGUGCAAGCGUUAAUCGGAAUUACUGGGCGUAAAGCGCGCGUAGGUGGUUUGUUAAGUUGGAUGUGAAAUCCCCGGGCUCAACCUGGGAACUGCAUCCAAAACUGGCAAGCUAGAGUAUGGUAGAGGGUGGUGGAAUUUCCUGUGUAGCGGUGAAAUGCGUAGAUAUAGGAAGGAACACCAGUGGCGAAGGCGACCACCUGGACUGAUACUGACACUGAGGUGCGAAAGCGUGGGGAGCAAACAGGAUUAGAUACCCUGGUAGUCCACGCCGUAACCGAUGUCAACUAGCCGUUGGGAGCCUUGAGCUCUUAGUGGCGCAGCUAACGCAUUAAGUUGACCGCCUGGGGAGUACGGCCGCAAGGUUAAAACUCAAAUGAAUUGACGGGGGCCC
rnacentral:rRNA from 1 species